rnacentral:rRNA from 1 species
UACGUAGGGGGGCUAGCGUUGUCCGGAAUCAUUGGGCGUAAAGCGCGUGUAGGCGGUCCGGUAAGUCCGCUGUGAAAGUCGGGGGCUCAACCCUCGGAUGCCGGUGGAUACUGUCGGGCUUGAGUACGGAAGAGGAGAGUGGAAUUCCUGGUGUAGCGGUGAAAUGCGCAGAUAUCAGGAAGAACACCCGUGGCUAAGGCGGCUCUCUAGUACGGUACUGACGCUGAGACGCGAAAGCGUGGGGAGCGAACAGG